rnacentral:rRNA from 1 species
AUUGAACGCUGGCGGCAUGCCUUACACAUGCAAGUCGAACGGUAACGCGGGGUAACCUGGCGACGAGUGGCGAACGGGUGAGUAAUGCAUCGGAACGUGCCCAGUAGUGGGGGAUAGCCCGGCGAAAGCCGGAUUAAUACCGCAUACGACCUACGGGUGAAAGGGGGGGGACGGCAAGCCCCCCCGCUAUUGAAGCGGCCGUUGUUAGCUUAGGUAGUUGGUGGGGUAAAGGCCUACCAAGCCGACGAUCUGGAGCUGGUCUGAGAGGACGACCAGCCACCCUGGGACUGAGACACGGCCCAGACUCCUACGGGAGGCAGCAGUGGGGAAUUUUGGACAAUGGGCGCAAGCCUGAUCCAGCCAUGCCGCGUGCGGGAAGAAGGCCUUCGGGUUGUAAACCGCUUUUGUCAGGAAGAAAUCUUCUGGGUUAAUACCUCGGGAGGAUGACGGUACCUGAAGAAUAAGCACCGGCUAACUACGUGCCAGCCGCCGCAGUAAUAC